UACCAAGGGAACUAGAACGUAUUUCUUCCCCAGUCUGGAGAUGCAGAACACUGAGCAUAAUAAGUGCUUCUCAAGCUUUAAUAUUUACUUGAAUUACCUGGAGAUCUUGUUAAAUAUGCAGCUUUAACAUACUGCCUGUAAUAUUUGGAGUGAAGGUAUUUUUUCUCCCCAAGAAAGUGAAGGUCCACUUUUGCUAAACAGAUACAGAAGACAAAUAUGUGGUUAAUAAUUAAAGAGAUAAUUAAUCAUAUUAUAAUUUUCCAAGUACUUUUUCCUAUUGACUAAAGAAUGAAUAGAAUAUUAUUUAUAGAGAGAGGAAAAAGGGGAGGGAGUGAGUGAUGAGGGAUGAAAAAUACCAGAAAAAUAGUGAAAAACUAUACAAAAUGCAAUAAAAUGACUUCUAGUCAUCAAGUCUUCAGUAAGG
rnacentral:lncRNA from 1 species